rnacentral:rRNA from 1 species
GGCGGACGGGUGAGUAAUGCCUAGGAAAUUGCCCUGAUGUGGGGGAUAACCAUUGGAAACGAUGGCUAAUACCGCAUAAUACCUACGGGUCAAAGAGGGGGACCUUCGGGCCUCUCGCGUCAGGAUAUGCCUAGGUGGGAUUAGCUAGUUGGUGAGGUAAUGGCUCACCAAGGCGACGAUCCCUAGCUGGUCUGAGAGGAUGAUCAGCCACACUGGAACUGAGACACGGUCCAGACUCCUACGGGAGGCAGCAGUGGGGAAUAUUGCACAAUGGGCGCAAGCCUGAUGCAGCCAUGCCGCGUGUGUGAAGAAGGCCUUCGGGUUGUAAAGCACUUUCAGUCGUGAGGAAGGUAGUGUAGUUAAUAGCUGCAUUAUUUGACGUUAGCGACAGAAGAAGCACCGGCUAACUCCGUGCCAGCAGCCGCGGUAAUACGGAGGGUGCGAGCGUUAAUCGGAAUUACUGGGCGUAAAGCGCAUGCAGGUGGUUUGUUAAGUCAGAUGUGAAAGCCCGGGGCUCAACCUCGGAAUAGCAUUUGAAACUGGCAGACUAGAGUACUGUAGAGGGGGGUAGAAUUUCAGGUGUAGCGGUGAAAUGCGUAGAGAUCUGAAGGAAUACCGGUGGCGAAGGCGGCCCCCUGNNCAGAUACUGACACUCAGAUGCGAAAGCGUGGGGAGCAAACAGGAUUAGAUACCCUGNUAGNCCACGCCGUAAACGAUGUCUA